rnacentral:rRNA from 1 species
CCUACGGGUGGCAGCAGUGGGGAAUAUUGCACAAUGGGGGAAACCCUGAUGCAGCGACGCCGCGUGAGUGAAGAAGUAUUUCGGUAUGUAAAGCUCUAUCAGCAGGAACGAGACAAGACGGUACCUGACUAAGAAGCCCCGGCUAACUACGUGCCAGCAGCCGCGGUAAUACGUAGGGGGCAAGCGUUAUCCGGAAUCACUGGGUGUAAAGGGAGCGUAGACGGCUGAGCAAGCCUGAAGUGAAAGGCGGGGGCCCAACCCCCGGACUGCUUGGGGAACUGUACGGCUAGAGUGCAGGAGAGGUAAGUGGAAUUCCUAGUGUAGCGGUGAAAUGCGUAGAUAGUAGGAGGAACACCAGUGGCGAAGGCGGCUUACUGGACUGUAACUGACGUUGAGGCUCGAAAGCGUGGGGAGCAAACAGGAUUAGAUACCCUUGUAGUC